UACGUAGGGGGCUAGCGUUGUCCGGAAUCAUUGGGCGUAAAGAGCGCGUAGGCGGCCAGACAAGUCCGGUGUGAAAGUCACAGGCUCAACCUGUGAAUGCCGCUGGAAACUUUCUGGCUAGAGUCCGGAAGGGGCGAGUGGAAUUCAUGGUGUAGCAGUGAAAUGCGUAGAGAUCAUGAGGAAGACCAGUGGCGAAGGCGGGUCCUGGACAGUUCCUGACACUGAGGCACGAAGGCCAGGGGAGCAA
rnacentral:rRNA from 1 species